ACAUGAAUGCGCCCGGGUCAGAGGUUCUUGGGGGCCCUCCAGGUGCUCUGCCCUUCCCCACCACAACUCCUGCAACUCCAUCCCUUGGCAGGCAUUGCUGUUAUUUGUGUGGAAGGUGUUGUUCCUGAUAAGACUUGCAGUCCACAUGGCUGGGAGCAGUUACCAUGAUACAGGAAGCCAGAAGAAGCAACGGUCUGUUCUCCUAAAGAAGUCUGUAGUAGAAUAAGAGGUUAUAUUUGGGAUCAGUUGGAUGUCCCAUUGGACUAUCUUACAAGCAAUUAUAAACAUGGAACAACAGUGGCCGAGGCGUUGGCAUGCAGAUACUUGCAAAGUGAAAAUGGAUACACUUCCACACUCCUCAUUCCUGGCCUGGAGGACAGCCUGCCAACCGUGCAUGCAUGUUGGUUUGGCACCGAGACAAAUGUUCCCUGGAGCAUAGACUGAAACCACCAAACUGAUAUCACGUGGGACACCAGCCAAAUCCUGACCUUGCUCUCUGUAGGCCUCUACUUUGGAUCAACUCAUUAUCCCGAAUAAACGAUGUGUCAUUCCCAUUAUUUAUGUUUCACUGCAGCCAAAGUAUCUGGACCUCGUUUUAGUAAGCGCCAUUCAUUUCGACCCAUUCAGUAUUAAUCUCCCUGCUAACAUCUUUCCUGUUCUAUGUGCUGUCCCCUAUUUGCUUUUAUGUUUUCUGCAGAGUGUUUAUAAA
ensembl:lncRNA